UUCUACGACCACCACCACGAGUAUCAGCAGCGAGAGAGUAUCAAACCUACCACUAUUAGCAUCGGUUACCACUACCGUUGAGUUCUUCUUUGAAUACGAGGUUGGUACGAAGCAACGUUUUACCGAUGGUCCAGACCGUUCUAUUUAAUCUCAAUCAAUACGUCGAAUCGAUCUUAAGUUAAUCGAUUUAUCUAUCGUGCGUGACAUUUUUUCAAAUCAUCCACGUCGCGAUUGAUUUUGUUAUUGAAGAAGUAUAUUACAUAAAGAGACAUAUUUUAUUGGUCAGUUAACGAACUUACACGAGUGCGUAUCUUUCCUCUGUGUUUGAGUGUGUGAGUGUUAGUUGUGUACGUGUGUGCGUAAGAACACGCGCACUUGCGCGCAAUAGAACAUACCUGCGCUUUUCGGAGAACGACGAAAUAUAUCAAGAAAGAAUUACUGGAACGAAGAUAAUAUUAUCUUACGUAAAUCCCAAGCAGGGGGAGCCAAGGACAAAAUCGAUUCACGUUUGAUCAAGGCAAAAAUAAAAAAUAAUCAAGAAGAAGAAGAAGAAGAAGGAGAAAAAGGAGAAAAAUAAAGAAAAGGAAAUAGCCAAGAGUGAAAGUUUAAGUUUGCCUUUCAUUUA